rnacentral:lncRNA from 1 species
UGCUUUUCAUAUUUAAGUCCUUAAUUGGCCUGGAAUUGAUUUUUGUGUAUGGCCUGAGAUAAGGUUCUAAUACUUUUUUCCAUAAGGAUGUCCAACUUCCCAAGCCCAUAAAUAAUUCUUUUUCUAUUUUAUGUAUUUUUCAUAUGCCAGGCAAAUUUAUGAAGAAUUCCGUGAGCAAAAACUGUGGAAAUCUUUUCAGUGGUAAAGUGCGUGCAUGUAUCUCUGUACUCAAAGUUAUUACAGAAGCUGCUAAAGGAUGAUCUCUUCGAGCAAUCAGGACAAUUACUGCCUAGAACAGGCUUG